CAGUCUGGCCUGCCCCCUGAAGUUUUAAAGGGCCGCGGUAUUUGGACCGUGCUAAGGUAGCAUAAUAAAUAGUCUUUUAAUUGAAGUCUAGUAUGAAUGGUCGGACAUGAAGUAAGCUGUUUUAACUAUGAUGUUUGAAUUUUACCUUUAAGUGAAAAGGCUUAAAUUAAAUGGUGGGACGAUAAGACCCUAUAAAGCUUUACAUUUUAUUUUUUGAUUGAAAGGUUUAAGGUUUCUUAUUUUUAUUGAGUAAAGUGUUUCGUUGGGGCGACGAGAAUAUAAAUAGUAACUGUUUUUAUUUAAAAAAUAUGUUUUUAUAGGUGAGUUGAUCCUUUAUAAAGAUUAAAAGAUUUAAGUUACUUUAGGGAUAACAGCGUAAUUUAUCUUGAGAGUUCAUAUCGACAGAUACAGUUGCGACCUCGAUGUUGAAUUAAAAUACCCUCGAGGUGUAGACGUUUCGGUGGUAGGUCUGUUCGACCUUUAAAAUUUUACGUGAUCUGAGUU
rnacentral:rRNA from 1 species